UUGGGAUCGAUCCAAGAGGGAGGCUAACGUCUACAGCUUAUCAUUUCCAGUCAGUGGUUGUUAAUUUUCUUCAGAUCAUGACUAUGUGAUUUGUGGACUGAAGAGCUAGCCGCAAAGUUCGAACUUCCUGCAAUUACUGAACUGAACUGAACCAUGGUAACUGAAAGGUGAACUGAGAUGUUGGAGGACUGGGUUAUUUAACUAAACCAUGGUAACUGGAAAUCGUGCAUGUCAGAACCAUGCAAAGUGAGGCCUGUGUGUACAUGAUGCAGUUCAGCACUGUUCUGAAGACUGGAAGUCCAAGAUCAAGAUGCCAGGAGGGUUCAUUUUGUUCACGCUGCACCAUCUAUCAGUGGUACAAGUGUAUGCGGACGGACUUCUGGUUCUGCUCCAGCUGUGCACCAAGUGCACAGUCCCUCAGUGAUCUCGCAGAUCCCAGCCCAGGCCCAGUGACCACCUUACCAUGGUCCUUCCACUGCAGACACCGUGCACUCUGAGCCUCGUGCUCACAACAGGGCCUCAACUUCCUCUAAGCCCAGCAGCCUUGGCUCACCUGCACUAGGGAGGGAGACCAGUUAGGAUGUUCUUGCAGUAGACUAGGCAAGAUAUAAUGGCAUCUUUUAACCAGGACCAUUGAAGUGGAGAUGAUGAGGAAUGGUUAGUUCCAGAUAUAAUCUGGAGUUAGAGCCAAUAAAACUUACUGAUGGAUUGGAUGUGGGGUAUGAAUUAACAUGAGAAAUCAAGAUAUUUGUACCAAGCAACUGAAUAAAUGAUAGAAAAGAUAUUAAGAUGGAAAAGAUUUAGAGAGGUCCAUAUUUGGGAAUUGGAGAAGGUAGAUGGAAAUCAAGUUUUCUAUUUUAACCAUGUUUAAUUUGAACUACCUAUUAGAUAUAGAAGUGGAGACAUAGAAUAAGCAGUUAGAUAUACUAGCCUAGAGCUCAGGAGAGAAAACAAGGUUGAAUAUAUGAAUUAGGGUCAUCAGUAUAUAGAUGGUUUAUUAAGCCAUGACUCUGGCUGAAAUUACAUGAAGUCUAGAGAGAUAAUGGAGAGGAGGGAAAGGAAGAAGGAGGGGAGGGGAAGGGAGG
rnacentral:lncRNA from 1 species